rnacentral:rRNA from 1 species
GAUGAACGCUGGCGGCGUGCCUAAUACAUGCAAGUCGAGCGAACAGAUGAGGAGCUUGCUCCUCUGACGUUAGCGGCGGACGGGUGAGUAACACGUGGAUAACCUACCUAUAAGACUGGGAUAACUUCGGGAAACCGGAGCUAAUACCGGAUAAUAUAUUGAACCGCAUGGUUCAAUAGUGAAAGACGGUUUUGCUGUCACUUAUAGAUGGAUCCGCGCCGCAUUAGCUAGUUGGUAAGGUAACGGCUUACCAAGGCAACGAUGCGUAGCCGACCUGAGAGGGUGAUAGGCCACACUGGAACGGAGACACGGACCAGACUCCUACGGGAGGCAGCAGUAGGGAAUCUUCCGCAAAGGGCGAAAGCCUGACGGAGCAACGCCGAGUGAGUGAUGAAGGUCUUCGGAUCGUAAAACUCUGUUAUUAGGGAAGAACAAAUGUGUAAGUAACUAUGCACGUCUUGACGGUACCUAAUCAGAAAGCAACGGCUAACUACGUG